rnacentral:rRNA from 1 species
GACGAACGCUGGCGGCGUGCUUAACACAUGCAAGUCGAACGGAAAGGCCCUGCUUUUGUGGGGUGCUCGAGUGGCGAACGGGUGAGUAACACGUGAGUAACCUGCCCUUGACUUUGGGAUAACUUCAGGAAACUGGGGCUAAUACCGGAUAGGAGCUCCUGCUGCAUGGUGGGGGUUGGAAAGUUUCGGCGGUUGGGGAUGGACUCGCGGCUUAUCAGCUUGUUGGUGGGGGAGUGGCUUACCAAGGAUUUGACGGGUAGCCGGCCUGAGAGGGUGACCGGCCACAUUGGGACUGAGAUACGGCCCAGAGUGCUACGGGAGGCAGCAGUGGGGAAUAUUGCACAAUGGGCGGAAGCCUGAUGCAGCAACGCCGCGUGCGGGAUGACGGCCUUCGGGUUGUAAACCGCUUUCGCCUGUGACGAAGCGUGAGUGACGGUAAUGGGUAAAGAAGCACCGGCUAACUACGUG